rnacentral:miRNA from 1 species
CACCCAAUUCAAUACGCCCGUAUUGAAUUAGGGUUAAAAGCAACUUUUCAACUUCAAUACGGGCGUAUUGAAGUGAAUA